UACGUAGGGGGGCAAGCGUUGUCCGGAAUCAUUGGGCGUAAAGCGCGUGUAGGCGGCCCGAUAAGUCCGCUGUGAAAGUCCAGGGCUCAACCCUGGAAUGCCGGUGGAUACUGUCGGGCUCGAGUCCGGAAGAGGCGAGUGGAAUUCCUGGUGUAGCGGUGAAAUGCGCAGAUAUCAGGAGGAACACGAUGGCGAAGGCAGCUCGCUGGGACGGUACUGACGCUGAGACGCGAAAGCGUGGGGAGCAAACAGG
rnacentral:rRNA from 1 species